GACGAACGCUGGCGGCGUGCUUAACACAUGCAAGUCGAACGAAGCUUGAUUACGGAUUCUUCGGAUGAAGUAUGAUAUGACUGAGUGGCGGACGGGUGAGUAACGCGUGAGUAACCUGCCCUUCAGAGGGGGAUAGCGUUUGGAAACGAACGGUAAUACCGCAUAAUGUAUUUUGACCGCAUGAUCGAAAUACCAAAGAUUUAUCGCUGAAGGAUGGACUCGCGUCUGAUUAGGUAGUUGGUGGGGUAACGGCCUACCAAGCCGACGAUCAGUAGCCGGAAGGAGAGGUUGAUCGGCCACAUUGGGACUGAGACACGGCCCAGACUCCUACGGGAGGCAGCAGUGGGGAAUAUUGCACAAUGGGCGCAAGCCUGAUGCAGCAACGCCGCGUGAAGGAAGACGGUUUUCGGAUUGUAAACUUCUGUUCUUAGUGAAGAAUAAUGACGGUAGCUAAGGAGCAAGCCACGGCUAACUACGUG
rnacentral:rRNA from 1 species